rnacentral:rRNA from 1 species
CACCGGGGCACGGGGGCUAUACCGGAUAACAUUUUGACCGCAUGGUUCGAAAUUGAAAGGCGGCUUCGGCUGUCACUUAUGGAUGGACCCGCGUCGCAUUAGCUAGUUGGUGAGGUAACGGCUCACCAAGGCAACGAUGCGUAGCCGACCUGAGAGGGUGAUCGGCCACACUGGGACUGAGACACGGCCCAGACUCCUACGGGAGGCAGCAGUAGGGAAUCUUCCGCAAUGGACGAAAGUCUGACGGAGCAACGCCGCGUGAGUGAUGAAGGCUUUCGGGUCGUAAAACUCUGUUGUUAGGGAAGAACAAGUGCUAGUUGAAUAAGCUGGCACCUUGACGGUACCUAACCAGAAAGCCACGGCUAACUACGUGCCAGCAGCCGCGGUAAUACGUAGGUGGCAAGCGUUAUCCGGAAUUAUUGGGCGUAAAGCGCGCGCAGGUGGUUUCUUAAGUCUGAUGUGAAAGCCCACGGCUCAACCGUGGAGGGUCAUUGGAAACUGGGAAACUUGAGUGC